CCUACGUGCCAGCAGCCGCGGUAAUACGUAGGUCCCCGAGCGUUAUCCGGAAUUUAUUGGGCGUAAAGGGCGCGCAGGUGGUUACUUAAGUCUGGUGUGAAAUUUUUAGGCUUAACCUAAAAAGGUCAUUGGAAACUGAGUAACUUGAGAGCAGGAGAGGUAAGUGGAAUUCCUAGUGUAGCGGUGAAAUGCGUAGAGAUUAGGAGGAACACCAGUGGCGAAGGCGGCUUACUGGACUGCAUCUGACACUGAGGCGCGAAAGCGUGGGUAGCAAACAGGAUUAGAUACCCUGGUAGUCCACGCCGUAAACGAUGAGUGCUAAGUGUUGCGAGUCAAAUCGCAGUGCUGAAGUUAACGCAAUAAGCGCUCCGCCUGGGGAGUACGACCGCAAGGUUGAAACUCAAACGAAUUGACGGGGACCCGCACAAGCGGUGGAGCAUGUGGUUUAAUUCGAAGCAACGCGAAGAACCUUACCAGGGUUUGACAUACCAAUGAUAUUUCUAGAGAUAGAGAGUUCCUUCGGGACAUUGGAUACAGGUGGUGCAUGGUUGUCGUCAGCUCGUGUCGUGAGAUGUUGGGUUAAGUCCCGCAACGAGCGCAACCCUUAUCGUUAGUUGCCAUCAUUAAGUUGGGUACUUUAACGAGACUGCCAGUGAUAAACUGGAGGAAGGCGGGGAUGAGGUCAAAUCAUCAUGCCCCUUAUACCCUGGGCUACACACGUGCUACAAUGGUCGGUACAAAGAGAAGCGAAGCUGUGAAGUGAAGCAAACCUCAUAAAGCCGAUUUCAGUUCGGAUUGUAGUCUGCAACUCGACUACAUGAAGAUGGAAUCGCUAGUAAUCGUGGAUCAGCAUGCCACGGUGAAUACGUUCCCGGGUCUUGUACACACCGCCCGUCACACCACGAGAGUUUAUAACACCCGAAGUCAGUGGGCUAACCUCGCAAGAGGGGGCAGCUGCCUAAGGUGGGAUAGAUGAUUGGGGUG
rnacentral:rRNA from 1 species